AAUAGAUACCCAGGUAGUCCACGCCGUAAACGAUGAGUGCUAAGUGUUAGAGGGUUUCCGCCCUUUAGUGCUGCAGCUAACGCAUUAAGCACUCCGCCUGGGGAGUACGGCCGCAAGGCUGAAACUCAAAGGAAUUGACGGGGGCCCGCACAAGCGGUGGAGCAUGUGGUUUAAUUCGAAGCAACGCGAAGAACCUUACCAGGUCUUGACAUCCUCUGCCAACCCUAGAGAUAGGGCGUUCCCCUUCGGGGGACAGAGUGACAGGUGGUGCAUGGUUGUCGUCAGCUCGUGUCGUGAGAUGUUGGGUUAAGUCCCGCAACGAGCGCAACCCUUGAUCUUAGUUGCCAGCAUUCAGUUGGGCACUCUAAGGUGACUGCCGGUGACAAACCGGAGGAAGGUGGGGAUGACGUCAAAUCAUCAUGCCCCUUAUGACCUGGGCUACACACGUGCUACAAUGGAUGGUGCAAAGAGCUGCGAACCCGUCGAGGGUAAGCGAAUCUCAUAAAGCCAUUCUCAGUUCGGAUUGUA
rnacentral:rRNA from 1 species